UCGUGUGAAUGUAGUUUCUUCUUAUCACCGUCUUGCAAAAACGAGUUGUUCGAUCCACGAGAAGACGAGUAAUGAGAUAUAGGAGAGUUGUUAUUACAUGAGUUUAAGUGGUGAAGGUGAUUGUAAUUGGACGAGGCGGUUGCAUGGGAAUUAACGGUCGAGGGUGGGCUUUGGACCAAGUAUAGUGCGGCGUAGGGGUAAGAUCGGAAUAACGAUUCUACUUCUUCCUCUUCGGAAGAUUUCGCCAUUGCCACCGCUACUGUGUGUGUGCUGUGUGAGAAAAAAAAUGGCAAAUGGUCACAUGGGGUUUUUAAACCCACAAAAUAAAGAGAGGUAU
rnacentral:lncRNA from 1 species